AUUGAACGCUGGCGGCAGGCUUAACACAUGCAAGUCGAGCGGAGAUGAGGUGCUUGCACCUUAUCUUAGCGGCGGACGGGUGAGUAAUGCUUAGGAAUCUGCCUAUUAGUGGGGGACAACAUUCCGAAAGGAAUGCUAAUACCGCAUACGCCCUACGGGGGAAAGCAGGGGAUCUUCGGACCUUGCGCUAAUAGAUGAGCCUAAGUCGGAUUAGCUAGUUGGUGGGGUAAAGGCCUACCAAGGCGACGAUCUGGAGCGGGUCUGAGAGGAUGAUCCGCCACACUGGGACUGAGACACGGCCCAGACUCCUACGGGAGGCAGCAGUGGGGAAUAUUGGACAAUGGGCGGAAGCCUGAUCCAGCCAUGCCGCGUGUGUGAAGAAGACCUUUUGGUCGUAAAGCACUUUAAGCGAGGAGGAGGCUACCUGGAUUAAUACUCUAGGAUAGUGGACGUUACUCGCAGAAUAAGCACCGGCUAACUCUGUGCCAGCCGCCGCCGUAAGAC
rnacentral:rRNA from 1 species